rnacentral:rRNA from 1 species
UACGGGGGGGGCAAGCGUUGUUCGGAAUUACUGGGCGUAAAGGGCGCGUAGGCGGCCUGCUAAGUCGGACGUGAAAUCCCUCGGCUCAACCGGGGAACUGCGUCCGAUACUGGCGAGGCUUGAAUCCGGGAGAGGGAUGUGGAAUUCCAGGUGUAGCGGUGAAAUGCGUAGAUAUCAGGAGGAACACCAAUGGCGAAGGCAGCUCUCUGGGACGGUACUGACGCUGAGACGCGAAAGCGUGGGGAGCGAACAGG